rnacentral:rRNA from 1 species
CUGCAGCCCGAGUGGUGAUCGAUUUUAUUGAGCCUAAAGCGUCCGUAGCCGGUCUAGUAAACUCUUGGGUAAAUUGGGCAGCUUAACUGUCCAAAUUCCGAGAGGACUGCUAGUCUUGGGACCGGGAGAGGUCAGAGGUACUCAAGGGGUAGGGGCUAAAUCCUGUAAUCCUUUGGGGACCACCAGUGGCGAAGGCGUCUGACUAGAACGGAUCCGACGGUAAGGGACGAAACCCUGGGGCGCGAACCGGAUUAGAUACCCGAGUAGUCC